rnacentral:tmRNA from 1 species
GGGGCUGAUAUAGCUUUCGACAAUUGGACUUUAUCAAGGUAUUCUGCGGGCCGACGAUACGCGUAACGUAUGCUUUAGUUGCAAAGUCUAAACUUGCAGGUGUAUUUGCUAGCUUAAAGAGCGUUUUCACUCCGAUGGCUGCUGCACCAGUCGCUGCUUAAUUUAAGCGACCGUCCUUGCUUUGCGGCAACAGGCAAAGCCUAGGGUGUCAUAUAUAUGUUGCUGGCUGCAUGUUCGGAAGCGGCGGACAUGCGGGACUUUUUCCGCGUAACGAAGCUUGAUUUUUUCGACUCAUUUUUUAGUCGGGUAACGUUAUAAAAUUUUAAAUGAGACUAUGCUCGUAGACGAAUAUCAUGAUACCAGUUGGACCCGGGGGCGGUACCCGGCAGCUCCACCA